rnacentral:rRNA from 1 species
AGUGAACGCUGGCGGUAGGCCUAACACAUGCCAGUCGAACGGCAGCACAGUAAGAGCUUGCUCUUACGGGUGGCGAGUGGCGGACGGGUGAGGAAUACAUCGUAAUCUACUUUUUCGUGGGGGAUAACGUAGGGAAACUUACGCUAAUACCGCAUACGACCUACGGGUGAAAGCAGGGGAUCUUCGGACCUUGCGCGAUUGAAUGAGCCGAUGUCGGAUUAGCUAGUUGGCGGGGUAAAGGCCCACCAAGGCGACGAUCCGUAGCUGGUCUGAGAGGAUGAUCAGCCACACUGGAACUGAGACACGGUCCAGACUCCUACGGGAGGCAGCAGUGGGGAAUAUUGGACAAUGGGCGCAAGCCUGAUCCAGCCAUACCGCGUGGGUGAAGAAGGCCUUCGGGUUGUAAAGCCCUUUUGUUGGGAAAGAAAAGCAGCAGGUUAAUACCCCGCUGUUCUGACGGUACCCAAAGAAUAAGCACCGGCUAACUUCGUG